GACGAACGCUGGCGGCGUGCCUAACACAUGCAAGUCGAGCGAUGAAGUUUUCUUCGGAAAACGGAUUAGCGGCGGACGGGUGAGUAACACGUGGGUAACCUGCCCUAUAGAGGGGGAUAGCCUUUCGAAAGGAAGAUUAAUACCCCAUAAAAUCUUAAUAUCGCAUGGUACAAAGAUCAAAGGAGGAAUCCGCUAUAGGAUGGACCCGCGGCGCAUUAGCUAGUUGGUGAGGUAACGGCUCACCAAGGCGACGAUGCGUAGCCGACCUGAGAGGGUGAUCGGCCACAUUGGGACUGAGACACGGCCCAGACUCCUACGGGAGGCAGCAGUGGGGAAUAUUGCACAAUGGGGGAAACCCUGAUGCAGCAACGCCGCGUGAGUGAUGACGGCCUUCGGGUUGUAAAGCUCUGUCUUCAGGGACGAUAAUGACGGUACCUGAGGAGGAAGCCACGGCUAACUACGUGCCAGCCGCCGCCGUAA
rnacentral:rRNA from 1 species